CCAUCACUUCCUUAACUUUUCUUCCUCUUUCCUUCUUUUCCUCCCCUUCCCUCCCCUCCAUCCAGGUAAACCACCAGCCCUGCAGGCACAGCUCUUCCACCUGGCAUCCUGCACUCAUAUAAAGAAAAGGGGUUUAAAUGACAGGUUAAGCCUAUCUGGCUUUAUAUCACUAAAAUCAUGUGUGUGCCUAAAAUCACCCAUCACUUCCCAAAUUAACUGCUCAGUUGAGUUACUUUGUUAUUCCAAUAAUUCAGAACACCAGGUAUUGGAACCCCGCUGCUGGAGUUGCUUGGAAGCUGCAUUAGAGACACUUUGAGCAAUGCAUAAAUAAUGAGCCAUCAUUAAUAAUUAUUUAUGGAAAUUCUCUGCUCUCCCUCUGUUGUCAGAGAUUGCACAGAUGUGAUCCAGGUCUGUUUAAGCAGGAACAGCCAGGAACUGGAUUUUGGUUUGCGUGCAUCGAAUAUCAUCACUUUGAGUCACAACACGUCAGUGCUCCCAGCAAGAUGCUUGGGCAGAAUAAGGAUGAAGUCAUGGAAGGAACAAGCAGCUGCGAAAAUACAGGGAUUGGGAAAUGCAGCCAACGUCAAACUGCUCUGUGAAGGCAAAUCCAGCAGGAGUUACAACACAGACGCUCGUUGAGCUCGUGGUAGUCUGCAUAUCAACGCAGUGGAAAAGAGAACCAGCUCGUGUGAUUCCAUGUUAGCCAUCCUGUGUUUGGGAUAAACUCUUCCAGCUGCACAGGUAACAGGGACUUGGAUGUGCAGUGAUCACUCCCACCCCACAGACACGGUCAGGAACAAAAAUCAUUGGGCAGCCCUAAAAUCCUUCUCCUUCCACUGUCCCCGGAGGAUGAGGGAGGGAUUGAAGGGUGGCUCUGCAGAUCCUGCGUGGGGCUGCCGUGCCCUCUGCUGGGCUCUGCAUCCAGGCUCACCCUCCUUCCUUGAGGCCUGAAGCCUGGAAAUUUUUUUAGGAAAAAUAACCAGGAAGGUAAUUGUAAUUAAAGCAGACCCCACCAUCCCUUAGAUUCCCUGCGGGACCUCCUGCUGGGAGAGGUGCCCCAAAACGCUUUAAUUUUCCCAUUUUCCUCCUUGCUUUCCUUUAAAAAUCCUUUUCGCUCCUGAGUAAAAUGCUGGAGUCAGCUUGGAGCAAGCAGCUGGGAAGCAACAGGAAAAGCAUUCAAAAACCCUUUUGUCACUGAAAUUCGAGAAUAAAACUCCUAAACACCAAUGCA
rnacentral:lncRNA from 1 species